UCCAACGAUCUACGGAGCGUGGACGUUGAAUCCAAACGAGGUCGAUGCGAACCACGGGGAAUCUUCUUUUUCGUCGGUUUGUUUACGCGGAAACGAACGGAAUUCGCGCGACAAGCGGGCAAUAACUGAAUAUCGAUUCAAUGCCACGACUCCCGAAUUCUUGGAAUAAAAGCUAUGGAGUAAUGGAAUGUCUUUGGUUCGAAGUUAAUAAAAUGGGAUGUUUCGUCUACAAAACAAGCACUACUUAAAGGCGGAACAAUACUUUUGUCGAAUUAAUUCCUGCACAGUUUACUCUAUUCUAAUAAACAAAGUACUAGAAACGAGCUGCAUAAUGUCAUAGAGCUAUAGGUUUCAGCCUAGUCGGGUUACCUUCUUAUAAAGGGGAUCGAUAUGCACUUCGGGCCGCAUAGUUUCUCUUCGAACAAAGGGAAUUUGCUUAUUGUUCUCGAGGGUACAUUUAGACGUGGUUGGUUCAAGACGAGAGGACAAACAAUCAGGCUAUCGAGAAUUUUACAGAGGAAGACAACGUCGGAUACAAUUCUACGAGCUGCACUGUUUUGUUACAAUCGGUAAAACGGGGGAGAGUUUAUGUCGUCGUUCUGGUGGAUUUCGUGUCGUUUAAAAGAUGAAGGACGACCGAGCGUUAACAUGUUGUUCAACAGUAAACUGUGACGGGACAGACGACUGGUUUUAUAGACACUUUUUUCAAUUAACCAGUUAGCUGUGAUUGACGAGUGUACUCGUCGUGCGCAAAAUUUCGUUAUCGUUGGUUAUGUAAGAGUAUGCUUCACAUAUUAAUUUGAAUAGCAGAAGUGGCAUGAAUUUUUGGGACGACAUAAUAUUAGGAGGGCCAGAAAGUAAUGUCGCUUCAUUAACAUUAAAUUCAAACAAACAAAUUUAAUAUAUGUUUUCAUUUUUAAUCAAUUAUAUAAUCGUCCUCGUUAUCAACAAUCUUUUGCCAUCUAAUGUACAAAUUUUCAAUACCUGAUCGAUAAUUGCUUUCUGGUCCCCCUAAUAUAUAGUCGUCUUUGCGAUCCAAUAUUAGUCUGUGUUUGACGACUAUACCUGUCGUAGCUCGAUUCUCACGACACACAUAGAUGUCCGCUCCGAAAAGAGGUCGCCGUAGCCAACUGAUUAAAUUCAAAAAUAUUUUACGUGGAGAUAAAUUGACUAACGCAGAAAAUAAUUGCAUGUAAUAAUUAUAUGCAAAAGUUUGAAAACGGUUAGUCGACUGAUUACCGUAGUUUUAGUGUUAAAGUAUACAUCGAAGAUGUGAAUUUUUCAUACACAACAUUCACGUU